rnacentral:rRNA from 1 species
CAGUCGCCGCGGUAAUACAGAGGGUGCAAGCGUUAAUCGGAUUUACUGGGCGUAAAGGGCGCGUAGGUGGUUAUUUAAGUGAGAUGUGAAAGCCCCGGGCUUAACCUGGGAACUGCAUCUUAUACUGGGUAACUGGAGUGCAGUAGAGGGUAGUGGAAUUUCCGGUGUAGCGGUGAAAUGCGUAGAUAUCGGAAGGAACACCAGUGGCGAAGGCGGCUACCUGGACUGAGACUGACACUGAGGCGCGAGAGCGUGGGGAGCAAACAGGAUUAGAGACCCCCGUAGUCCCUGUCUCUUAUAC